UGCCAAGGUAUGCCCCUAAGAGAACACGCCAUGUGCAACAGAGUUAGUGCAAGGGGUCUGUUGGGGGAUGGGGAGAGUGAGAGAGUGAAAGGCUGUCUUGGAGUAGGGACACGAGAGAGGCAGACAGACAGACAGACAGACCCAGACAGAGGGAACAGGCAAAAGAGGAAGAAGAGAAGCAAGAGAGAGGACUGGCAGUUUUAAGGGGUGCGCUUGUCACAUGGCUGACGGUGGAAAGGCACCUGGCACCAGGUGAUGACGUGGCUGCCUCGGUGGGAACUAGCACAGGCAGUGGGGAGCUGUGGAAGAAUUUUAAAUGGACAAGUGACAGAGCCCAAGUUAAAGAUGCAGGAAUACUCACUUGCUGUUGUGCCCUGGGUGCGAGACCCCCGAAGAGACCACCAGGGACACGAACGCACCGAAAUGCUAAGCAAGGUUUAUUGAAGCAGUUCAAGCCGCUCAGCAGGGCCCUCGUCAAGCCAUCCAACACAGCAGAGGCUGGAGGAGGUGCCCGCCCCUCUGCAAGCUCAGACUACCUCCGGCAUUGGGACAUUGUGUGGUUAAUCAAUUGCUACCAGAUCGUCCUUCAAACAUCCUGACUUUGUACUUUGACCAUCUCCGGCAUUGGGGCAUUCUGUGGUUAAUCAGUUGUUACCAGAUGACUCUUCAAGCAUCCUGACUUUGUCCUGGGACCUAUGUCAGCAGCUCUGAGGAUUUUGAAACUCAGGCCUGUUUCAAGCUGGGGUGAGGGGCUUGCUUGAAAAGGGGGUGCUUUGGUUCUUCAUUUACCUCUUUAUUCACCCCUGACCAAGGCCUAGCUUUCUCUGUAGGCAGCCCAUGCUGGUCCUAAAUUUCUCUGCAACAAGGCCAAGGGCUCUGGAAACACUGAAGUUUGAACUGACACCAAUUACGCUGCAAGGGUGAAAAUUAAUUAAAAGUUUUCAAAGGGCUGUGUUCAGUUUUCUUCCCUCUUUUGUGUUAUCAGCAACGCUGCCUUUUCUCCUGGCUGGGAGUUACUGCAGUACAAGGUUUUCAUGUUGCCUGUAGGGUAAUUAUGUCAACUAUAUGAGCCAUGAUAAGCGGCAGUUUGUAUUAUUCUGUGAUUAAUCUCCAUACAUUCUGGCAUUCCAAUCUGCCCUCAGAAGACAAGGCUGUGAUUCUCUGGUGCAGAGGGAGGACUCCGGGAGAGCUGCAAGGACUGAGGAGCUGAAACACAGAGACAGCCUAAGAAGACUCCGGAGAAGAGGGAAUUUCCAGUUUCAACGCUGCGUCCCUGAGGAGUUCUUACAUAACGGACAGUUUUGUGCAUUUGACCCAGGUCACCGGGAGGGAGCCCGACCCUUGGUGAGACCCAGACUGAAGAUGAGCUUUUUCCAAGAUGGUGUCAGAGGAGCAGACACGGGAUUUAUCUCGGGUGAUAUAGUGUUCUACAGCACAGGAGGGUGACUACAGGAUUCAUCAAAAUGAUUAUAUAAAUAACUGAAAGACACGAGUUUGAAAUUUACAGUAAAUAAAGAGGAAUAAAA